rnacentral:rRNA from 1 species
AUUGAACGCUGGCGGCAUGCCUUACACAUGCAAGUCGAACGGCAGCACGGGAGCAAUCUUGGUGGCGAGUGGCGAACGGGUGAGUAAAGUAUCGGAACGUGCCCAGUCGUGGGGGAUAACGUAGCGAAAGUUACGCUAAUACCGCAUACGAUCUAUGGAUGAAAGCGGGGGAUCGCAAGACCUCGCGCGAGUGGAGCGGCCGAUAUCAGAUUAGGUAGUUGGUGGGGUAAAGGCUCACCAAGCCGACGAUCUGUAGCUGGUCUGAGAGGACGACCAGCCACACUGGGACUGAGACACGGCCCAGACUCCUACGGGAGGCAGCAGUGGGGAAUUUCGGACAAUGGGCGAAAGCCUGAUCCAGCCAUGCCGCGUGCAGGAUGAAGGCCUUCGGGUUGUAAACUGCUUUUGUACGGAACGAAAAGGUUUGGCCUAAUAAGCUGAGCUCAUGACGGUACCGUAAGAAUAAGCACCGGCUAACUACGUGCCAGCAGCCGCCGUAA